rnacentral:snoRNA from 1 species
UGACAAGGGGCACAAAACUCGUGGCCUUCCUAUGAACAAAUACCCUACACGU